ensembl:lncRNA
GCUGGUAGUGAUAGAGAGAUGAGACCUGGGUUCUAUAUAUAUAUAUAUAGUGGCUGGUAGUGGCUGGUAGUGAUGGAGAGAUGAGACCUGGGUUCAAUCAGGUGGUCUAUAUAUAUAUAUAGUGGCAGUAGUAGUGGCUAGUAGUGAUGGAGAGAUGAGACCUGGGUUCUAUCAGGUGGUCUAUAUAUAUAUAGUGGCAGUAGUAGUGGCUAGUAGUGAUAGGGAGAUGAGACCUGGGUUCUAUCAGGUGGCCCAUAUAUAUAUAUAUAGUGGCUAGUAGUGAUAGAGAGAUGAGACCUGGGUUCUAUCAGGUGGUCUAUAUAUAUAUAUAGUGGCAGUAGUAGUGGCUAGUAGUGAUAGGGAGAUGAGACCUGGGUUCUAUCAGGUGGUCUAUAUAUAUAUAUAUAUAUAGUAGCAGUAGUAGUGGCUAGUAGUGAUAGGGAGAUGAGACCUGGGUUCUAUCAGGUGGCCCAUAUAUAUAUAUAUAGUGGCUAGUAGUGAUAGAGAGAUGAGACCUGGGUUCUAUCAGGUAGUCUAUAUAUAUAUAUAUAGUGGCAGUAGUAGUGGCUAGUAGUGAUAGGGAGAUGAGACCUGGGUUCUAUCAGGUGGCCCAUAUAUAUAUAUAGUGGCUAGUAGUGAUAGAGAGAUGAGACCUGGGUUCUAUCAGGUGGUCUAUAUAUAUAUAUAUAGUGGCAGUAGUAGUGGCUAGUAGUGAUAGGGAGAUGAGACCUGGGUUCU